UGUAUCAGCCGCAUUUUUUCCCUAACCGGCACACCUUUCGGUUCUUCAAAAUCCUUUUUAUUUCUUCAACCGCCACAUCAUUCGAAUCUCCAAAUCUUAAACGUUCGUCAACUGAAACGAAAUUUAUAUCCCGUUACUAUCUCCUAAUUUCGUUCUCUGUUGUUCAAAUUCAUUCUGAUAUUGCAGCCCUUCACUCACGCUCGAAUUCGACAUCGCUUCACUCACGCUCGACAUCAAACAAAUUAGAACACAAUUGAUUGCGAUUUGCAUAUGGCGAUAUCAGAGGCCAAUUUUACGGCGAUUCACGUAGAUCAAUUGAUGGCGAUUCGAAGAGAAAACAGGGCAAUGGUCCUAAUGGUUUGUAGAGGCGAAUUUGUUUUUAACGAAUUCGAAGAAGAGUGAAGAAUGAUCAAUAUGCUUCAACUAUCGAUGGUAUAUGAAGUUGAUCUAAUUAUAAAUCCAUGAUUCAAUCUACAAUGGUAGACUAUUAAAUCAUCUGCGUUUUCUGUUUUCUAUAAUCCCCGUUCUUUUUCUCUUGAGUUGCAAUUAGUGUAACAAUUUCACGAUUCAGACGAUUGAAUUCUAUGCAGAAAAUUUCAAUUGAAAUCAAGUAAGAAUCAAAUUUUCAAUUGAAAUGAACUCUUUUUUGAAUGAUUAAAAUAAUAGUUGGAAUCAA